UUUGUGGCGGGUGGCCAAGCGAAAGCGUUAAGCAUCCCACCUGGGGAGUACGCCGGCAACGGUGAAACUCAAAGGAAUUGACGGGGGCCCGCACAAGCGGAGGAACAUGUGGUUUAAUUCGAUGAUACGCGAGGAACCUUACCCGGGCUUGAACUGCCGGUGAACGAUACAGAGAUGUUGAGGCCCUUCGGGGCGCCGGUGGAGGUGCUGCAUGGUUGUCGUCAGCUCGUGCCGUGAGGUGUCGGCUUAAGUGCCAUAACGAGCGCAACCCCUUUUUUCAGUUGCCAUCAGGUAAUGCUGGGCACUCUGGAGAUACUGCCACCGCAAGGUGUGAGGAAGGUGGGGAUGACGUCAAAUCAGCACGGCCCUUACGUCCGGGGCUACACACGUGUUACAAUGGGGCAUACAGAGUGUUGGCUUAACGCAAGUUUGGUCUAAUCUUCAAAGUGUCUCCCAGUUCGGACUGGGGUCUGCAACCCGACCCCACGAAGCUGGAUUCGCUAGUAAUCGCGCAUCAGCCAUGGCGCGGUGAAUACGUUCCCGGGCCUUGUACACACCGCCCGUCAAGCCAUGAAAGCCGGGGGUGCCUGAAGUCCGUAACCGUCAAGGAGCGGCCUAGGGCAAAACUGGUGAUUGGGGCUAAGUCGUAACAAGGUAGCCGUACCGGAAGGUGCGGCUGGAACACCUCCUUUCUGGAG
rnacentral:rRNA from 1 species